rnacentral:misc_RNA from 1 species
UACGAAGGGGGCAAGCGUUGUUCGGAAUCAUUGGGCGUAAAGCGUAUGUAGGCGGCUGGUCAAGUCAGACGUGUAAGCCCACGGCUCAACCGUGGAAUUGCGUUUGAAACUGCCCAGCUUGAGUUCAGGAGAGGAAAGCGGAAUUCCCAGUGUAGCGGUGAAAUGCAUUGAUAUUGGGAAGAACAUCGGUGGCGAAGGCGGCUUUCUGGCCUGAAACUGACGCUGAGAUACGAAAGCCAGGGGAGCAAACGGG